ensembl:lncRNA
GGGGGGGGGGGGGGGGGGGGGGGGGGGGGGGGGGGGGGGGGGGGGGGGGGGGGGGGGGGGGGGGGGGGGGGGGGGGGGGGGGGGCUCCCGGCGGCGCCGCGCCGGGCACUGCCCUCGGCGCGCAUCGUGCGGCCGGCCUGACUCAGAGCCGGCUGCGCCUCGCCCGCCCUCCCCGGCUCUCCCCACCCCUCGCCGAGCAGUUCGCGCCUCCCUCCUGGUCAAGAGGCUCGAUGUCACCGAACGCUCCCUCAGUCUUGCUUGGCAUCGGUUGGAGGACUGCCACGGACUUACACACAGACCGCGACUCGCGACCACAUUUCCCCGCUUGUGUUUUUCCCGAGACAGGUCAGUCCCACCAAAGGCAGAAAUGAAUGCUGGGGAACAAGUAGCACAGACUGUUAUAAAGAAAGCAUUUGGAGGCCGUACUUGGAUCCUCGAGAAUGAUGUUCAGCUGAUUAGGGUGAACUUGCCCGUCUAUCCCAGCUUCCUAGCUACCGUAAUUACGUAUCUGCCAUAACUUCAGGUGAGUGCAGUCAGACCAUCUGUGCCUUCAGGAUGCCAAACCUCCACUCCCUAUACAGCCAACACAGAGAGAGCUCAUAUUCGGGCCACCUGCUACAGCUCUAACGGGAAGCGUUGCACCUCCUUCUCUCACAUCUGCUCAUUAAUCCCUGGAACGCCAAUGUCAAUAAUGACCGCUCAGUCUGCUGUGAGGGACUGAGUGGACAGUGGAUCUGUGACAAUGUAUCAUCAUCAUCAUCACCACAGAAGACUAUAGAAAGCAUCAAAAACAACUGGGAAGUAUCCCAUACCUGCGCUCGAAAGGCUUUGGAUCAGAAGGUCUGCCAGGGCUGUUGCCUGAUGAGCACUUGUGUGUCUCCUCUUCCCAGUGAGAUAACAUGGCUUUUUCUAGCCUGGUGGUGCAGUACGCAAAAGACUGUCCCCAAGUGCAGGAAUGAGCCUGGUAUGCUUUUGGCACUGUGCAGGUACAGCCCAAAGGCAAAGGCAGUUUCCAAGUGGAUGACUGAACUGGGAAAGCUUUGAAAAGUAUGUAACCUCCAGGGAGGUGAAGCAGCGAGAGUUGAAUGACAGCACAAGAGGCAGCUGGGUGCUCCUGUUUGGACACAUCUGCCAUCAAGGGAAGCCUUCUUAUGGAGGAGGAAAACUUAAUGGACACUCUGGCUGACAAGUAGAAUGACAUGCUUUCAGUAGAAUGGCAUUAAUAUAUAUAUUUAUUUUUUUUCCCACCUCUGAAUAGCUACUUUGCUAUUCAACGGUAACCUAAAACUAAGUAAGCUAAAAUAUAAGAAGUAUUCUUGCAAAUCUCCAUUAUUCUCUGUGAUGGGCAGUGCUUAAAUAGUAAACUUGGAGACAGUAGUGUAGAACACAAAGGCAGGAAAGGAGAAAGUGUUUAUCAUGAUGCUCAGAAUGUGUCUCUUUGCUGCAGCCUUGAAAGCAGCUCCUAUAAGCUGGCAAUGCAGACAAUAUAACUGAUCCAGACAUGUUCAGCAUGUAGAAUUACAGAAUCUCAGCCUUAUCCUUUCCUCACAGGCAACAGGAAUUUUUCCCCCAAAGAAAAAAAUCACAUGAAAGUCCAGAAAUUAGAAGCCAGGAGAGAGAUCACAUCUGCUUCAGACAGUUUCUCUCUUUUGGACUCGGGGAGAAAGGAAAUAAUUUCACAGUGCCAGAAAUGCAGGAAUUGUGCUGUUACAUGGAAGCUUUGCAAAAGCAAAGCCAAAAUCUGAGCACUUAACUUCUUUUUCUCCAUAUUAUUCAUUUUCCCCUGAAAUUCAGCCAAACUUCCAAUUCAAAACUCGUAUCAUGGCUUAGUGUAUGGAAAUUCCAAUAAAAUUUAUGUUGUCAGUUAAGAAGUAAACAAUGCGAAAUAAAAGGAAGUGAUUGUGAAAAAAGGAAUGUGAAAUAAUACAGACAGUUGAGUUAGAUGGCCUAAAUGUUUCUAUUAGUGAAAAAACCAGCUAGAGCUGUUAUACAAUAACAAAAAUU